rnacentral:rRNA from 1 species
UACGGGGGGGAGCAAGCGUUGUUCGGAUUUACUGGGCGUAAAGCGCGCGUAGGCGGACCUGCAAGUCGGGGGUGAAAGCCCGAGGCUCAACCUCGGAACUGCCUUCGAUACUGCGGGUCUCGAGUCCGGGAGAGGUGAGUGGAAUUCCUAGUGUAGAGGUGAAAUUCGUAGAUAUUAGGAAGAACACCAGUGGCGAAGGCGGCUCACUGGCCCGGUACUGACGCUGAGGCGCGAAAGCGUGGGGAGCAAACAGG